rnacentral:tmRNA from 1 species
GGGGGUGCACUGGUUUCGACCGUGAACGUUGAUGCGUCGGAAGCGAGCCGAGGUCGCCGGAGUCCUCGUUAAAGAGCCGGUACCAACAUAAGUGCAGACAACGAAAGUUACGCACUGGCAGCGUAGUUAAACGCUCCUGUCCUCCCGGGGGGUGCCCACCUCGCCGGAUCAGGGCAAUGCAAUGUGGGACGCCCCCACCGGGGUUCCGUGACCGGUGGGGAAAGACGAUUGCGGAUAGGACGUCGGGAAACCGGCCGAUAGGGUCCCGGUCGUCCAAAUGCUCGCUAUCGGCUGCGCUCGGAGAUGCCGGCGCGGAUAGUUUGCGGGACGGGGGUUCGAUUCCCCCCACCUCCACCG